GAUGAACGCUAGCGGCAGGCUUAAUACAUGCAAGUCGAACGGUAAGUUGAAUAGCAAUAUUUGACCUAGAGUGACGUACGGGUGCGUAACACGUAUGCAACCUACCUUGUACAGGAGUAUAGCUCGGGGAAACUCGAAUUAACACUUCAUAGUAUGUUGAUGUGGCAUCACGUUAACAUUAAAACUCAGGUGGUACAAGA
rnacentral:rRNA from 1 species